rnacentral:rRNA from 1 species
CCUACGGGAGGCAGCAGUGGGGAAUCUUGCGCAAUGGGCGAAAGCCUGACGCAGCCAUGCCGCGUGAAUGAUGAAGGUCUUAGGAUUGUAAAAUUCUUUCACCGGGGACGAUAAUGACGGUACCCGGAGAAGAAGCCCCGGCUAACUUCGUGCCAGCAGCCGCGGUAAUACGAAGGGGGCUAGCGUUGCUCGGAAUUACUGGGCGUAAAGGGAGCGUAGGCGGACAUUUAAGUCAGGGGUGAAAUCCCAGAGCUCAACUCUGGAACUGCCUUUGAUACUGGGUGUCUUGAGUGUGAUAGAGGUAUGUGGAACUCCGAGUGUAGAGGUGAAAUUCGUAGAUAUUCGGAAGAACACCAGUGGCGAAGGCGACAUACUGGAUCAUUACUGACGCUGAGGCUCGAAAGCGUGGGGAGCAAACAGGAUUAGAUACCCUGGUAGUCCACGCCGUAAACGAUGAUUGCUAGUUGUCGGGGUGUUUACAUCUCGGUGACGCAGCUACGACAUAAGACACUCCGCCGUCGGGAGGUACGGUCGCGAAGAAGUUAAACGUAACGUAAAGGUAAAGUUAGUUACGGCGUGAGAGUGCCGACGGACGACGACGAGGGAGGAGG